AUUGAACGCUGGCGGCAGGCCUAACACAUGCAAGUCGAACGAGUGGCGGACGGGUGAGUAAUGUCUGGGAAACUGCCUGAUGGAGGGGGAUAACUACUGGAAACGGUAGCUAAUACCGCAUACCAUCAGAUGGGCCCAGAUGGGAUUAGAUUGUUGGUGGGGUAACGCCUCACCAAGGCGACGAUCCAUAGCUGGUCUGAGAGGAUGACCAGCCACACUGGAACUUAGACACGGCCCAGACUCCUACGGGAGGCAGCAGUGGGGAAUAUUUCGCAAUGGGCGCAAGCCUGAUGCAGCCAUGCCGCGUGUAUGAUGAAGGCCUUCGGGUUGUAAAGUUCUUUCAGCGGGGAGGCGUUACCCGCAGAAGAAGCACCUGCUAACUCCGUGCCAACAGCCGCGGUAAUAC
rnacentral:rRNA from 1 species